AAAAAACCUGGGAGGUGGGAGUUGUCCCUGGUUAACCUACAAAAUUUCGUAGAUUUUUUUAGGACGAAAAAAAACCGUGGAAGGUGGGACUAAAAAAACCUGGAAGCGAGACUACCAACUGCUCCCUUAGGAGUAGAGAUUCAUGGGAUCACCAACUUUUGGCGUUUGUUGAUACUAGCUAUGUGGGGCCAUGAAUUCCUAGAAGAUUGUGGCAAUUAUCCUGCUUCGCUUGCAAGAUUGGUUUCUAAAAAUAUCAUGGUAGUUAUAAUUUCAGAUUGCUGCUGAUUUGACUAAAUAUGUUUUGAUUGUUUUUAAGCUUUGACUCUUUACUGUGUGCACAACUAAUUCAUUCCUAAUUAAAUCUUUCAAUGGUUGAUGGGAACACUACAGAUCUUGCUUCUCUGCUUUUUAAUGUUUCAUAUGUUUUCAUGUACAAACCGAGGCAUGCGGAUGCGGGGGCGAUGGCGGGCAUCUCCGGCAGCGGCGGCGACCUGCAGGCAAGAGGCAACGACUGGGGUGUUCGAUUCGAUCCAGCGCCAUGGCCUGGUCCCUGCAGGAGAGAGAGAUGAGGGACAGAGAGAGAAGGAAGGAGAGGAGGGACAAAGAGAGAGGGAGGUGAAUGCACUGGACUCUUCAAGAUCGAGCGCACCAUUGGAAAGGCCGAGUACGUCCAUCGACAGCCUGCCCAUUGUCCGGAUUCACCAAGCAGUACAACCGGAGAUGCUGUCGGCUGCCUGCAGGCACCAAACCGCCCGCUGUUGUCUCUGCCUGAAGAAGGAUUAUGGUUCUCCACCCCUUUGCUACUCAUAUUAAAAUUCCGUUCAAGGAUUGGUGGUCGAGCACUAUGAUCUUUGCACACUAAGGUUCGGUUGUGUUGUUUGAGAAAUAUAUGUCCUACAAGUCUCAUGUGUCUUGUCUUGUUUACGCUUUCCAAGCUACAAGCUUUUGAUAUACUUCAAACGUGAUUCUUUAUAUGUUGUUUGUUCUAUCAAUCGUAAAAUGUAAAUUAGCAAUUAGGCGUCGACAUAGUAUAGUGGAACCAUUGUGCUUGAUGCAGUUUUAUUUUAGUGUUGAAAUGUUUUUCUUAGUUUGUUUGGUGUUGAGAAAUAUAUUCGUUUUCCAGCAAUUGUUUUCUAAAUCCUAUCAACACAUUACCUGAUAUGGCCUUUGAAGUUUCUGUUUUAUAACGAUCUUUGUUGCAGUGGUCAACUUGAGUAUGGUAUAGCUUAUUCU